rnacentral:rRNA from 1 species
UUCUACAGCCAUAUCACCCUGCAGCCCAAGACUGGUUGCCCACUGAAGCUAAGCAUGGUUGAGCCUGGUUAGUACCUGGAUGGGAGACCUCCUGGGAAAACUAGGUUGCUGUUGGAA